rnacentral:rRNA from 1 species
UGGGGAAUAUUGCACAAUGGGCGCAAGCCUGAUGCAGCCAUGCCGCGUGUGUGAAGAAGGCCUUCGGGUUGUAAAGCACUUUCAGCGGGGAGGAAGGCGAUAAGGUUAAUAACCUCAUCGAUUGACGUUACCCGCAGAAGAAGCACCGGCGAACUCCGUGGCAGCAGCCGCGGUAAUACGGAGGGUGCAAGCGUUAAUCGGAAUUACUGGGCGUAAAGCGACCGCAGGCGGUUUGUUAAGUCAGAUGUGAAAUCCCCGGGCUCAACCUGGGAACUGCAUCUGAUACUGGCAAGCUUGAGUCUCGUAGAGGGGGGUAGAAUUCCAGGUGUAGCGGUGAAAUGCGUAGAGAUCUGGAGGAAUACCGGUGGCGAAGGCGGCCCCCUGGACGAAGACUGACGCUCAGGUGCGAAAGCGUGGGGAGCAAACAGG